rnacentral:rRNA from 1 species
AUGUUUUGGAAAGUACUCUUACUAAUAGGUAUGAACACGCUUUCCAAACUCAAUCAAUUUUACAAGCAAAGAAGUAAAAAGUCUUGGGCUGUAAAAGGUGAUCGCAACACAAAAUUCUUCCAUCAGGCUGUGCUCAAACGUAGAAAAAGAAAUACUAUUUGUUCUAUCAAAGAUGAGCAUGACAAUAUUCAUUUCAAAUCGGAGGCCAUGAUGCAAAUGUUUGUUAAUUAUUUCAGUUAUGCUGGCAGGCCUUUUUCUUCCCCUAUUUGGACUAAUGACAACAAUGGUCCUACUUAUUCUAUUCCGGACAAGACUGAACUUUUGCGGAUUCUUAAAGACAUGAAGCUUAAUGCUUCUCCUGGUCCUGAUGGGUUCAAUGUAGAAUUUUAUUUAGCUACUUGGGAUUGGAUUGGGGAUGAGAUAACUCAGCUUGUCACUCACUUCUAUAAUACUGCUACACUUCCCCCUCACAUCAAUGAUACCAAUAUUGCUCUUAUCCCUAAGAAGUUGGUUCCUCUUGUGCCCAUGGAGUACCGUCCU